AUCAUAAAUCAUACGUUAACUGCUUCCAAUAUUGUGGCUUAAUUGUGUUACUAUAAAUAUAUUUCGGUUUUGUACUGUAUCUCACACUACAUCUACUGUAUCGCUAACGGUUACCGUAUAUCUAAUUGCUAUCAAUCAGUUCCAUAUAGUCCAUAUUUGGAAACUAUGAAUAAAUCAACUAUUUCUAAACUUACGUGGGUUGUAUCGGAAAUGGUUACAAUUUGGCAAAACAUUCAAAUAUGAUUGCAUACUGUUUAGUAUCAUGAAAAGUUGUCACACAUACAUUGAAGUCUUAUGGUUUGAUAGUAAACAUACCGUACGCGGAGUAGUUAUAUUGCACUUGUGUGCGUUUUGUGAAAUCGUAGAAAAUUUUUCAUCAGUCAAACUGCCAUAUUUGUGUUCAUUUCUGCGAAUCGAGUGUCGAAACUUGUUUGAAGUGAAAUAAGGAAUGCAUACUUCUUAGGACUUCAGAGUGGUGCUGCAACAUAUCUACAGAGUUUCUGAAAGAUGUUUCAACAGCGCCGAAGGAUCGUGGAACCAGAAUAUCAUCCCCAAUGCUGAAUCUAGGCGCUGAGUUCAACUUGAACCUGUUUCGCAACUUUUAGCGGAAACAAAUAAAUACAACAUUUGUUCGUAGAUACACGAAUUGUCUUGUUAAAUUAUUAUGAAUAGGAAAAAAAAUAGAAUGGCAUAGGGUUGAUAUACCGUUGACUACCAUAAUCCAAUAAUUUCACAAAUUGUAAACGUUUUUAUUCAAAAUAUGUUGUUUUACAAUUCUAGAA